UGAGACAGUUGUCAAAACAGAAUGUUCUCAAAUUUUAACACUAGCUUAGAUAGGUUAAUUCAAUGAAGAACCUCUUGAAUCAGAGAAAAAUCAAGGGAGAUUCCAUGUUUCCUGCCCUACCUACAGAGGGGUGGAGCUGAACAUUGAGGAAAAACUAAAAAGGACAAGAGAGAGGAGACUUGCAGAAGACAGGAAAGCAGGAAAUGCUCUUUCACCUGCAAAGUGGCACUUGGAUGAUAGAAGAGAGAUGAGGACUGGAGGAGCUGAGUUUUUUGAUCACAGUGAUUUGGCAAUAAGUGAAUUAAA